GGCAGUUCCCCAGAUGAGAGGGCUUGUCUGAAUCCAGCAGGGCUCUCAGCAGGAAGGCAGCUUCUCCCUUGUGCUGGGUAUUGCAUAACUGUAGCCAUUCUUUUCCCAAAUGAGGAACAAGCAGCCUGUGCCACUCCAGCAAGGGCCAGUGAAGCAAGGGAAGCUCUUGGCUCUGCUUAGCACUAGGGAGGUUACAUAUCAAAACUGUGUCUAGUUUGGGCCUCCCCCCAACUCAAGAGGGAUGCUUGGGGAGGAUCUGUUUGGGGCUUCUGGGCUGCUCAGGGCUGGGGACAGAGGGUCUGGAAGGAGAGUGGGGAGCUGGGACAGCUUUGUGUGGUGAAGACACAGGUAUAGCGAUGUGAAAGUCAGUUAGAGAGAUGAUGAUCUUAAGGUCCUUUCCAACCCUAACUAUUCUAUGAUCCUAUGAUGUGGUCAAACUCUUUUUGGCAGCCAUUCCAGAUUACAUAAUAGGGGAACAUGGGAAGUUUGGCUUGGAUAUUAGGAAAAAAGAGGCUGGUGGGGAGGUGUCUUCAUCCAUGGAGAUUUCAUGCAUCGCCCAGACUAGACCCUAGACCAGGCUGCCAAGACCUCAUUGGCAGCAGUUCUAUUGCAAGAGAGAGGUUGGAUCAGAGGUCUCCUGCAGCCCCAUUUACCAAUGAUGUGAGUCUGAGCCCCAGUUGCUUGCUGUAAGAACAGUUCUUGUUUCUUGCUGGCUUUCUGCUGCUUUGGUUUGCAAGUGUGUGCACCAGCCUCUGUGUUACCCAGCAGCCCAGGAAAAAACAGCCAUGACUCUGGAAACCCAUCAGCACAACAUGUGGUUGGGACGCACAUGUUGGUGUCUACCAGCCUUGUGGGUUGAACACAGUCUAGAGUGCAAGCACAGCAGGGGAAAAGCAUGGUUAAGGCAGGAGGCUGUUCUUCCGUUAAUUUUUUUACUAUACCUGCACUUCUGGGCUUACAUCCAAGGCCUGAAGUACUUGUGUGAUUUCCUCCUGCCUCCAUCAGUUGUGUUCUCUAUUCCCUCCUCAACUAGUUAUUAAUUAUGGAGACUGCAAAGAUGAAGUCCAGGCUCUACUAAUGGUUGACUUCCCUGUGUUUUAGAAGCAGCAUUUCAGAGAUCUGCUAAUGGUAUUUCUUCGCUUUGCUUUUCAAGCUCCACCAUCAUCUUGGUUUCUAGCCUGGGUGUGGCAGAGAGACAGACCAUGGUGUUUGAAUGUUGGCUGAAGCCCAGCUCUCCAGGCAGCCUGCAGUUGCAGGGCACACAUCUGUGGCACCCUCCUCAUCUCCCUGUGUUGAAAUGUCUCCAUGAUCCAGUUAUCCCCAUCCUUCCCAGGGCAGCGGUGUUGGCCAAUGCUUUUAGCUGCUUGUUUUUCUGUGCACAUGGAGUCUUUUUGUGCUAGCAAGGACAAGGUAGCUUUGCCAAGCAGCAUUUGGGCAGCACAGUGACCCUAGCUGGCUGAUGCCUCUCAAUUUCCCCAAGCUUUGAGAACUGGGGAGAAAAUCCAAGGUGAGUGCUGCACCCUCACCCCAGCUAUCAUCACAAAGCUACCUCUUUGCUCUUAGCCACCAGAUUCCCUCCCAGUCUGUGUCUCAGCCUCUAAAGCUGCCUGGCCAAACCCCAGUGCUCUCGUCUUUCCUCUCCUAGCCUUGUUAUUCCUUUCCCCCUUCUCCCAAGGAGGCCUUCGGGAGCCAGUGCUGGGCUGGCUCCUCCUCCCUGCCCCAUCCAGGCUGUAAGCACUGCUGGCCAGCCUCGGUGCCAGCUCUGUCUGCCCUUUGCUUUCCCUGCCCUGGCUGGCACAUCUUCAUUCCCUUAUCCCUGCCUUUGCUGCUGUCUGCCCUCCUGUACAGUCCUCUGGGAGACACAGCUCUUCCCCUCCUGUCUCGUUCCCAUUCUUCCACUGAUGGGUUGUGUUCAUCCAUUGCGGGGAGUUAGCGCUUGUUCUUUGCUCCACAGGCCCUAGCAGCCUGUUCCCUGCCUUCACCAUUGCUUACAGCUUGCUGCCUGUCAGUGGGCAGCUUCAGGGUAGAGAUGCAGAGAUGCAUAGGAAGGGGCUGCCUGCAUUCCCCCUGCCCAAGCUUAGCCUUGGUGUUAGGGGAAUAGGGAGAGAAAGACUUGGAAACAGUGGAGUGCAAAAUGUUCCCAUUUUAGUUUUUCCAGUGCUGCCCAUUUGUGUUCCCCAGCCUGCGACUUAUCCCUGGUAUUGGGUGCCAGCACUGGGCUGGGAUUCCCAGAUCUUGUUUUGCAAUCUUCUGGUGUCGGCCAGCAGCAUGGGCCUUCUUGUAAGCACCCCGACAGUCAUGGGGAAGGAAUGUUCCCCCAGCCGCAUGGGGAAAGGUCACCAUGGGCAAAGGGGACACUGGGACCAGGCGAACAUGCUCCCUUUCUUCCCAUUGCCGAUGAGGGCAACACCAAUCAGCAUGGAGCUGAAAACAUUCUGGCUUUAAAGAAAAGGUUCAGGAGUUUAAAUGUUUUGGGGAAAGACCUAAUUCCUUUUGCAGGGCAGAUCUCCCUGCAGAUGCUGUGCCCAGGCAAAGUCCAGGAGGACAUUUCCCUGUGAGUUUCAUUGCUUUUUAGCGAUGGAAAAUGUUUGCUGUUGAAUCUGCAUCUGCUUGUCUCACUGAAGCAGUGCCCAGGACAGUGUUGUUCUGAAUAGUAGCUGGGCUGAGCACUCUCUUCCCUUCCCAUCCCAGGCCUGCCAACAAACCUCUCCCCUGAACUCAGCUCGGAAAGAAAGCUGUGACUUGCGGUGGCCGCGGAGGGAUUAGCGUCCAACAUUAAGGGCUUAACUCUUCAUCCCUGCCAGCGGGGGUUUCAAGUAACACCACUGUGCCUUUUCUUUCACUCUCAGCGAGUUUGUAUCCUGCUUUAAUAACAUCCUUUACACACUAUUCUCUGGCCUGGGUUUUCUAAGCUGGAGCUUGCUCCUGGUGCUUUGCUUUCAGAGUCUGGCACAUUGGCUGAGGCUAGUGGCAUUGAUCAGGGUGAGAGCAGAGUGGAGGAAGGAGGAGGAAUUUCUAGGUUGGGCUCAUGCACCAAGUUUGUCAGAAUUCUCAGCGUGUUAAAUAAAAAAAGAUAAUCUGGCCCUUGGUAUCUAGGUUACGUUUGCCUCUGCUGUAGCUGAGCUCAUGGAAAAAUGCAGCUUAGCUCCAGCACUCAGUGCCAAGAUUAGUAGGUUUAAAAACUAACAGAUAACAUCUCUGUAAGUUUGGAGUCAUUUCUUUUAAGCCUGAUGAUCCUUCCAGCCUGGAUUUUGGAGCUUUCCUGGAGAUUCACAUGAGCCAAGCAAGACGACAGUAUCAGCACUGAAAAAAGUCACUGUGUCAUGUUCAAAUACCCAGAGGAAGGAGGCUGCUGUUCCCUAAAGCCCUGAAGGGUGUGUGCUGGGAUCCUUCUGCCAGUUCCCAACCAGAUACACAGCACACGACAGACGCUCUGCACAUAACUUAUAAUAAUCACUAGUUUUAUUUAUUAAAAAAUUACAAUAGAAAAGUACCUUUAAACACAUUUCCAAAAGCGGAGUAGACAAUGUGGAUGCUUCUCUCCUCUCCACAAGACAAAGUACAGGAAAUAGUUUGCUAAAAGAGUUAGUCCAUUGCUUGGAAACGCUGAUAUCAUUCCUUUUAGAGUCACUCAGGGGUUUGUCUUGGAAUUGAUUUCUUCUUGCGUUGCCUGUAUCAGUGCCAUUUUUUACAGAAGACCCCAACAGGACAGUUUCCCAUCGCACCGCUUCACCCAACACCCUGCCCCAGUUCCAGCAGCCAAAAUCUCAGCCUACCCACAGAAUAAAAGGAGGGAGGGAGAAAAAGGUUAUGAUGUAUUUAACAAGGCUAUGGGCACCCCCUGUCUUUGGUGCAGCUGGAAACCAAUUACGGCGAGGCCUGGGCAGCGGCUGAGCACAGUGUGCCCUGCGGUGAGGAUGGGGUUGGGGAGAGAGGCAAUGAAGAAGUUUUGCGCCUCCUUUUGCAAGAAACCGAAAUCUCUUUGAGGUUUUGGUUUGCUUUGCUCUUCCCAAAUUUCUCCUGGAGCAAGGAGAGGGAGAGACUGGUAUGUCAAGCGGUCUCUUGCCUGUCAGCUUGCUCAGGACUCAUGCCCAACUUUGAGUAAGCUGGCAAACCAGUGGUUUGUCGUUUGUUUUUUCUCAUACAGCAGUUUACGGUGCCUGUAACAACUUCAAGCAGUCAUGGCAGGAAGAGGAGGAAGAAGAGGCAAAUUGUCACCUUGCUACAUAUGUGGGCUAUCUCUGCCCAUCCCUGAUCGGAGCCCGUUGUACCGUGCUGAAGCUUUGCACAGCAAGCUAUUAACAUAGCCCUAAGUGUCCACAGAUGUCUUGCCGAUGCAGCCGGAGCGCAAUUCCUCUGCUGGAGCACACAUCCUGUGCUGGAGCACGAUUCCUACACACCCAAAUUGUGCAUCUUGGCAUCUGCAUGCACGUGAGCAUCAUUCCUUUGACAUGCAAUUGACGGGGCAGGGGGAUACAGACUCCUACUGACAAACAUUCAAAAGUCAAGCACAAAACCUGUGGUCUGACCCAGUGUAAGAUUGUUCUGUUUAGGAGGUUUGGUACAAAAAUACUUGCUCUUGUUUUGCCUUUUUUUUUUUUUUUGAUUUUUUUUUCAGUCUGCUUUCCUAUGGUUCUGUUUGAAGCCUGUUCAAACACUACAGCAAUGCCUGUCAAACCAUGCUUUCAGAAGUAACACACUCUUUCUCACAAAUAUACAGUGUAAAAGAGGAAAA